AAACACAAGAAAAUGUUUCAGUUCCCAUUAAUGAGGUGCGACAUGAUGAAUCAGUGAUGGUCGCUGACCAACAUGAUGAACCUCAACCACGAAGAUCAACACGGGCAUGUCGCGCACCUGAUAAGUACACACUCCUGAUUACAGGGCAGCCGGACAUCCUAUUGUUGGACAAUGAGGAGCCUAAAACAUGGAUAGAAGCAUUGAUGGGAUCGGAGUUUGAGAGAUGGCUUGAUGCCAU
rnacentral:lncRNA from 1 species